rnacentral:tRNA from 3 species
ACUUUUAAAGGAUAAAAGUA